GUUCUGAUCCAAUAGGAGCGCGGUGGGGGCGUGGACGGGUUCUGUUUACUCCUGUCCUGCAGAAAGUGGGACAGACUGAAGGCUGCAGCUGUCACACCGACAGGGAUCCACAUGAGCCUCUGCAGCACAGCAUUCAUGGAGACCUUUGUAAGAGCCGCCAUGCUGAGAAGAAGCUGGAGCGGCAAAACUCGACAUGUGGCCUGGAGCGAAACCUGGCAGGACGCAGAUGUCAUGGCAGCUGCCGACAGGGAGGAGUGGGACAGCCAAUCAGUGACUCAGAUCGGCGACCUGGACUCUGACAUGGAUCAGCUGGUCGGAACCACCGGAGUCGGUUCUGAGGUUGUGGUUCUGCCCUUCGCUGCGCCGGGGAAGCGGGAAUCGUUCUCCAUCUGUGAGCCGCAGGAGGAGCUGAACCCGAGUUUAUGGGCCGCUGAUGACAGGGAGGAGGACCAGGUUUUUGACUGGGUUUGGGACGAGCGCUGCAAGUCGUCCGGCGCCUCCCUGAGCUGCGACGACAGGAAGGUGAGCUUCCACUCGGACUACAGCUGCGGCACGGCCGCCAUCCGCGGCAACAGGGCGCUUUCAGAGGGCCAGCACUAYUGGGAGGUGAAGAUGACUUCUCCCGUCUACGGAACCGACAUGAUGGUUGGGGUCGGAACCUCUGAGGUGAACCUGGAUAAGUUCAAGUUCAGCUUUGGCAGCCUGCUGGGCCACGAUGAGGACAGCUGGGGCCUCUCAUACACAGGUCUGCUCCAACACAAAGGAGACAAAGUGAAGUUCUCCCCUCGGUUCGGUCAGGGCUCGGUCAUAGGAGUUCACCUGGACACCUGGCACGGCACUUUGACCUUCUACAAGAAUCGGCACUGCAUAGGUGUGGCUGCUACCAGGUUGCAGAGCAAGAAGUUCUACCCCAUGGUUUGCUCCACGGCCGCUAAGAGUAGCAUGAAGGUGGUGUGCGCCUGCUUCGCGCCGACCUCCCUGCAGUACCUCUGCUGCGCCCGGCUGCGCCAGAUGUUGCCCAGUUGCCCUGACGUGGUUGACGCGUUGCAGCUGCCGCCGGGCCUGCGCACCGUCCUGCAGAGUCAACUGGACUGGGUGUUCGCCCUCAGCAGCGACCCGGACCCGUCCGAGGACGAUGACUGCAUGCAGACAAGCGUGCCUUCCAGCCCAAGUGCCUGCGCCGAGCCGGCGCCUCAGGAUCGGCCCGCAGCAUGCCACUGUCCGCCGACUCCGCCGAGCAGCGACUACGACAGCUGCUGCUCCGACCCGGAGGAUUAUCAGUGCAAACGAUGCCGCUGGACGUGACCCGCUUGCGUUUGUGCUGCAAAGCUUAUUCUACUUCUGCCAUGUCAAAUUUCACUACACUGCAAAAACACAAAAUCUUAAGUAUUUUUGGUCUAGUUCCUACUGCAAAUAUCUUAGUACACUUGAAAUGAUUAAAACUAACUAACAAGUAACUUUUCAGUAAAAUACAAGAACUUGUUUUAAUAAGUCAAUAAUUCGUUAGUAUUGAUGAAUAAUUACUAGUUUCACUAUAAGUUAACUUAUAACAUGGGAUAAAAGUUGUAAGUGAAAUAAUCUGUCAGUGGAAAUAGAACUGGGUUGCUAGGUAACGACUGGGCUUGGCUGAGGUUGCUAGGUAACGACUGGGCUUGGCUGAGGUUGCUAGGUAACGCCUGGGCUUG